rnacentral:tRNA from 2 species
GCAGAAUUGGCAGAGAGGCUAUGCAACCGACUGCAGAUCGGUUUAGGGGAGUUCGAUUCUCUCAUUCUGCU